rnacentral:rRNA from 1 species
CAGCCGCCACGGUAAUACAGAGGGUGCGAGCGUUAAUCGGAUUUACUGGGCGUAAAGCGUGCGUAGGCGGCUAAUUGAGUCGGAUGUGAAAUCCCCGAGCUUAACUUGGGAAUUGCAUUCGAUACUGGUUAGCUAGAGUGUGGGAGAGGAUGGUAGAAUUCCAGGUGUAGCGGUGAAAUGCGUAGAGAUCUGGAGGAAUACCGAUGGCGAAGGCAGCCAUCUGGCCUAACACUGACGCUGAGGUACGAAAGCAUGGGGAGCAAACAGGAUUAGAUACCCGAGUAGUCCCUGUCUCUUAUAC